rnacentral:rRNA from 1 species
CACGUAGGGGGCAAGCGUUGUCCGGAUUUAUUGGGCGUAAAGAGCUCGUAGGCGGUUCGAUAAGUCGGGUGUGAAACCUCCAGGCUCAACCUGGAGACGCCACCCGAUACUGUCGUGACUAGAGUCCAGUAGGGGAGCGUGGAAUUCCUGGUGUAGCGGUGAAAUGCGCAGAUAUCAGGAGGAACACCAGCGGCGAAGGCGGCGCUCUGGGCUGGAACUGACGCUGAGGAGCGAAAGCGUGGGGAGCGAACAGGAUUAGAAACCCCCGUAGUCC